GUGUCAGAGAGCUCUUUGAUCUGAGAGCACUCUGACACACUGUCUCUGUCUCUCUCUCUUUGAUCUGAGAGCUCUCUGACACACUGUCUCUCUCAGAGAGAGACAGUGUGUCAGAGAGCUCUCAGAUCAGAGAGAGACAGAGACAG